UUUGCUGACGUACUUAUUUGUCGUUCUCGAAACCCUUUGUCUCGUCGUAGAAGCGUCCCCUUCGUCUCCCAACCUCCGAUACCCCUGCGGCUGGAAUCGGACCUCCCCUCCCUCCAGAUUCGCUGCCGUCUGACUGCUUCCCGUUAGAAUCGCGGUCGUCAACUCAGAUGCGCCCUGAUUAGGGCUAAGCCGGCAGAUUAGUACACGAGGCUCCGCCUCAUUAGGAAGUCGAGGAGGUCAAUAGCGCCCGCGCCCGAAGACGCACAUGUUGUCAAGCUUAAGGAAACUUUAAAGAGGUGAAGUAAUCGAGUUAGAAGCAAGAUCCAGAAGCCAAAUCAGCCAAUAUCAGAACGUAGCAUCGUAGAUCUAUUCCUUUUAUGACUGGUGGUACGUCCCCUUCUACCGCAGUACUGAAUUAAUUGUUCGACUUUAGAUGAAUCACUUGUCUCUUUAGACAAGUAAAUCCUGUGAGAUCUGGCAUUGUAUGUAGCAGAGGAACGAUGAAUAGGCUCAUGGUUAUGGAAUCUCUGCUCUCUACAGUUCUGUGAAACAGUGAAAAGGCCAACUCUUCAGCUACUGUGCUGUAAGUAAUCAAAACAAUGGAGGUCACGAGAGUUCCUGACUUUCUACUUGAGAUGGCCUGCAUUAUCUAAGCUUGGUCAAGCGACCAGCUUUUUA